rnacentral:rRNA from 1 species
CCUGACUGCUAUCGGAUUGAUACUAAGCCAUGCGAGUCAUUGUAGCAAUACAAGGCAGACGGCUCAGUAACGCGUAGUCAAUCUACCCUAUGGACGGGAAUAACCUCGGGAAACUGAGAAUAAUGCCCGAUAGAACAUUAUGCCUGGAAUGGUUUAUGUUUCAAAUGAUUUAUCGCCAUAGGAUGGGACUGCGGCCUAUCAGUUUGUUGGUGAGGUAAUGGCCCACCAAGACUAUUACAGGUACGAGCUCUGAGAGGAGUAGCCCGGAGAUGGAUACUGAGACACGGACCCAGGCCCUAUGGGGCGCAGCAGGCGAGAAAACUUUGCAAUGUGCGAGAGCACGACAAGGUUAAUCCGAGUGGUUUCUGCUAAAGAAACCUUUUGUCAGUCCUAGAAACACUAACGAAUAAGGGGUGGGCAAGUUCUGGUGUCAGCCGCCGCGGUAAAACCAGCACCUCAAGUGGUCAGGAUGAUUAUUGGGCCUAAAGCAUCCGUAGCUCGUUUUGUAAGUUUUCGGUUAAAUCCAUGCGCUUAACGUAUGGGCUGCCGGGAAUACUGCAUAACUAGGAAGUGGGAGAGGUAGACGGUACUCGGGAGGAAGGGGUAAAAUCCUUUGAUCUCUUGAUGACCACCUGUGGCGAAGGCGGUCUACCAGAACACGUUCGACGGUGAGGGAUGAAAGCUGGGGGAGCAAACCGGAUUAGAUACCCGGGUAGUCCCAGCUGUAAACUAUGCAAACUCAGUGAUGCAUUGGCUUAUGGCCAAUGCAGUGCUGCAGGGAAGCCGUUAAGUUUGCCGCCUGGGAAGUACGUACGCCAAGUAUGAAACCUAAAGNAAUNGGCGGGGGAGCACCACANGGGGUGAAGCCUGCGGUUCAAUUGGAUUCACCGCC